AACGAACGCUGGCGGCAUGCCUAACACAUGCAAGUCGAACGAGACCUUCGGGUCUAGUUGCGCACGGGUGCGUAACGCGUGGGAACCUGCCCUUAGGUUCGGAAUAACUCCCCGAAAGGGGUGCUAAUACCGGAUAAUGUCUUCGGACCAAAGAUUUAUCGCCUUUGGAUGGGCCCGCGUUGGAUUAGCUAGUUGGUAGGGUAAAAGCCUACCAAGGCGACGAUCCAUAGCUGGUCUGAGAGGAUGAUCAGCCACACUGGGACUGAGACACGGCCCAGACUCCUACGGGAGGCAGCAGCGGGGAAUAUUGGACAAUGGGCGAAAGCCUGAUCCAGCAAUGCCGCGUGAGUGAUGAAGGCCUUAGGGUUGUAAAGCUCUUUUACCCGGGAUGAUAAUGACAGUACCGGGAGAAUAAGCGCCGGCUAACUCCGUG
rnacentral:rRNA from 1 species